rnacentral:rRNA from 1 species
CGAAAGCCUGACGGAGCAAUACCGCGUGAGGGAGGAAGGCUUUUGGGUUGUAAACCUCUUUUCUCAAGGAAGAAAAAAAUGACGGUACUUGAGGAAUCAGCAUCGGCUAACUCCGUGCCAGCAGCCGCGGUAAUACGGAGGAUGCAAGCGUUAUUCGGAAUUAUUGGGCGUAAAGCGUCCGCAGGUGGUGCCUCAAGUCUGCUGUCAAAGACCGAAGCUUAACUUCGGGCAGGCGGUGGAAACUGAAGCACUAGAGUACGGUAGGGGUAGAGGGAAUUUCCAGUGUAGCGGUGAAAUGCGUAGAGAUUGGAAAGAACACCAGUGGCGAAGGCGCUCUACUGGACCGUAACUGACACUCAGGGACGAAAGCUAGGGUAGCG